ACGCCGUCAAAUCACAGAUCAGGAAGAGGCUGUCGAGCAGGAAGAGGAAGACCGGGCAGGGAGUGUGUGUGUGUGUGUGUGUGUGUGUGUGUGUGUGACUAUUCACUCUGGUAAUCAUGAAGAGACACACCUAUUGAUAAGCUGCUGUCCUUGUCCACUGACAAUGAACAUCUGGCCUGACCUAGUAUCCCCCAGCUAAGUGAACAGGGCUGAAUGAUAAUCAUGUUUUACCAGCCUCCCCACCCACAUUAACCUUUAUGAACAGGUGUUUGUACAGACCUCUGUUUGUUUGUCUACCCUUCUGCAUUGUCGCUAACAUUGUUCUACGAGGUCUAACUGCUGCCUGGGGGCAUUUUUUAGUACGUACUGUGACUAUUAAACUCUCAUACUUAGUGAGGAUGAAUGGAAUUGUAGUACUUAAAUAGGAUUAUACAAGUAAAGAGGAAAUAGCUGUAAAAUAUGAUCUUGCCUGUUGUUUUGCAUGGUGCAGCAUGUUGACAGAAUGGGCCAGAACAGGAGCACCUGUAACAGGAGCACCUGUAACUUGGCAGCCGUGGAGGAGAGGUUUAAAAGAGGAUGGUCUGGAUGUGCCUGUCCUGGUUCUGCCAGCCUAACAGUGACGAACAGCUACAUUAAUCAACCCUGUCCAGCAGACAAGGGAAUAUUCCAUCCUCAUGAUGCCAUCUAUUUUGUGAAGUGCACCAGUCCCUCCUGCAGCAAAGCACCCCCACAACAUGAUGCUGCCACCCCCGUGCUUCACGGUUGUGAUGUUGUUCUUUGGCUUGCAAGCCUCCCCCUUCUUCCUCCAAACAUAACGAUGAUCAUUAUGGCCAAACAGUUCUAUUGUUGUUUCAUCAGACCAGAGGACAUUUCUCCAAAAAGUACAAUCUUUGUCCCCAUGUGCGGUUGCAAACCGUAGUCUGGCUUUUUUUAUGGCGGCUUUGGAGCAGUGGCUUCUUCCUUGCUGAGCGGCAUAUCAGGUUAUGUUAUGUUACUGGAUAUAGAUAUUUUUGUACCUGUUUCCUCCAGCAUCCUCACAAGGUCCUUUGCUGUUGUUCUGGUAAUGAUUUGCACUUUUCGCACCAAGGUACGUUGAUCUCUAGGACACAGAACGCAUCUCCUUCCUGAGGCUGCUUGGUCCCAUAAUGUUUAUACUUGCGUACUAUUGUUUUUACAGAUGAACGUGGUACCUUCAGGCGUUUGCAAAUUGCUCCCAAGGAUGAACCAGACUUUUGGAGGUCUACAAUUUUUUUUCUGAGGUGUUGGCUGAUUUCUUUUGAUUUUCUCAUGAUGUAGAGCAAAGAGUCACUUAGUUUGAAGAUUGGAUGUAUUUCAAGGUUUCAGGUACACCUCCAAUUGACUCAAAUGAUGGCUUUAGAAUCUUCUGAUAGGCUAAUUGACAUGACCUAAUUUUCUGGAAUUUUCCAAGCUGUUUAAAGGCACAGUCAACUUCGUGUAUGUGAAACAGUGAAUUAUAAGUGAAAUAAUGUGUCUGUAAACAAAUGUUGGAAAAAUGACUUGUGUCAUGCACAAAGUAGAUGUCCUAACCGACUUGCCAAAACUAUAGUUUGUGAACAAGAAAUUUGUGGAGUGGUUGAAAAACGAGUUUGUAGGUGAUCAAAUACUUAUUUUCCACCAUAAUUUGCAAAUAAAUUCAUUAAAAAAUCCUACAAUGUGAUUUUCUGGAAUUUUUUUCUUAUUUUGUCUGUCAUAGUUGAAGUGUACCUAUGAUGAAAAUUACAGGCCUCUCUCAUCUUUUUAAGUUGGAGAACUUGCACAAUUGAUGGCUGACUAAAUACUUUUUUGCCCCACUGUAAUUGUAUGUAAUCUUCCGACUUCAACAGUACAUACAGACACAAAUAUACAUACAGUACCAGUCAAAAGUUUGGACACACCUACUCAUUCAAGUUUUUUUUUUUUUUUUUUACUAUUUAAAAAAAAUAAUUAAAUGUCAGGAAUUGUGAAACUGAGUUCAAAUGUAUUUGGCUAGGUUGUAUGUCAACUUCCGACUUCAACUGUAUAUAUAUUUGCAAAAAAAUAUAUGGGGGAUUGGAAGUGACGCAGACAUUGAUGGAAGCUACAAUCUAUCUGCAAUAUUAAAGCUACCCCCUUAAAAUAAAAAAUAAAUAAAAAACAAACAUGCAAGCUGUUGAACUCUUUCAGGGAACCAUUUUUUUCUAUGCGCAACACCAGUGUGUGUGUGUGUGUGUGUGCUUGUGUGUCUUUGUGCGUGUGUGUCUGUGUGUGCGUUCGUGCGCAUGUGUCUGUGUGUGCAUGUGUGUGUUUGAUUGCUAUAUUUCUCCUUUCUCCUGUAACAGUUAUACAAUAUGAAAGCCACAGCACAGAUGUAGAGGAAGAGGGUGAUAGUCAUGCUAAUUUUUGUCUGGUGCAUGUUGUCAGGAAGGAGGACAAGGGGGACAGCUCCAAUGUACCAACAGUACUGUAGUGGAGGGACCAGGGCUCUGAUGUACCAACAGUACUGUAUGGAGGGACCAGGGCUCCAAUGUACCAACAGUACUGUAGUGGAGGGACCAGGGCUCUGAUGUACCAACAGUACUGUAGUGGAGGGACCAGGGCUCUGAUGUACCAACAGUACUGUAGUGGAGGGACCAGGGCUCUGAUGUACCAACAGUACUGUAGUGGAGGACCAGGGCUCUGAUGUACCAACAGUACUGUAGUGGAGGACCAGGGCUCCAAUGUACCAACAGUACUGUAGUGGAGGGACCAGGGCUCUGAUGUACCAACAGUACUGUAGUGGAGGGACCAGGGCUCUGAUGGACCAACAGUACUGUAGUGGAGGGACCAGGGCUCUGAUGUACCAACAGUACUGUAGUGGAGGGACCAGGGCUCUGAUGGACCAACAGUACUGUAGUGGAGGACCAGGGCUCCAAUGUACCAACAGUACUGUAGUGGAGGGACCAGGGCUCCAAUGUACCAACAGUACUGUAGUGGAGGGACCAGGGCUCCAAUGUACCAACAGUACUGUAGUGGAGGACCAGGGCUCUGAUGUACCAACUGUACUGUAGUGGAGGGACCAGGGCUCUGAUGGACCAACAGUACUGUAGUGGAGGGACCAGGGCUCUGAUGGACCAACAGUACUGUAGUGGAGGGACCAGGGCUCUGAUGGACCAACAGUACUGUAGUGGAGGGACCAGGGCUCUGAUGGACCAACAGUACUGUAGUGGAGGGACCAGGGCUCUGAUGGACCAACAGUACUGUAGUGGAGGGACCAGGGCUCUGAUGGACCAACAGAACUGUAGUAGAGGGACCAGGGCUCUGAUGUACCAACAGUACUGUAGUGAAGGGACCAGGGAAUUCAAGUCUUCCUGUUUUAUCUCCAACAACUAACUUGGCUUCAAAGAUAAUCUUGAGCUGAAUGCAAAGAGUACAAAUUAAUACUCUUCUUGAAGCUAUUGUAUAAAGCCCUCAAAGCAUUAAGUCAUGGUUUGAUUAAGUCAUUUAGAUAUUUAGAUAUUAGAAGUACAUGAGAUUUUGUCUUGAUGAUAAUCCAUGGUCUCUGAGUAAAUGUAUUUUUCUUGUUAAAAAAGUUAAACUCUUUCCAGUGACAAGAAAAUGACCACCUCUACCUGAACUGUCUCUUAAUCUAUAUUCCAAUUUCACAGUGACUGGUGAUACCUCAAUACUGUAUUAUAAAUCAUGCUAUAUAGGCAUAAUCUUUUAUGGGUACCACAAACUCCCUAACACAAGCACACAAUUAUACGUGUAUGUACUGAUUACCGAACCCGUAGCACUCACGUCUGUAGCCAUGAAAUGCUUUGAAAGGCUGGUCAUGGCUCACAUCAACACCAUUAUCCCAGAAACACUAGACCCAUUCCAAUUUGCAUACCACACCAACAGAUCCACAGAUGAUGCAAUCUCUAUUGUACUCCACACUGCCCUUUCCCACCUGGAGAAAGGAACACCUAUGUGAGAAUGCUAUUCAUUGACUACAGCUCAGCAUUCACCUCCAUAGUGCCCUCAAAGCUCAUCACUAAGCUAAGGACCUUGGGACUAAACACCUCCCUCAACUGGAUACUGGAUACUGAACUUCCUGAUGGGCCGCCCCCAUGUGGUAAGGGUAGGUAACAACACAUCCCCCACCCUGAUCCUCAACACGGGGGCACCUCAGGGGUGCGUGCUCAGCCCUCUCCUGUACUCCCUGUUCACUCAUGACUGCACGGCCAGGCACGACUCCAACACCAUCAUUAAGUUUGCUGAUGACACAAAAGUGGUAGGCCUGAUCACCGACAACGAUGAGACAGCCUAUAGGGAGGUCAGAGACCUGACCAUGUGGUGCAAGGACAGCAACCUCUCCCUCAACAUGAUCAAGACAAAGGAGAUGAUUGUGGACUACAGUCCGGAGCUGUCGUGGAGCAGGUUGAGAGCUUCAAGUUCCUUGGUGUCCACAUCACCAACAAACUAACAUGGUCCAAGCACACCAAGACAGUCGUGAAAAGGACACAAACGUAUUCCCCCUCAGGAAACUGAAAAGAUUUUGCAUCGGUCCUCAGAUCCUCAAAAGAUUUUACAGCUGCACCAUAGAGAGCAUCCUGAAGGGUUGCAACACAGAGGGUAGUGCGUACGGCCCAGUCCAUAUACCGGGGCUAAGCUUCCUGCCAUCCAGGACCUCUAUACCAGGCGGUGUCAGAGGAAGGCCCUAAAAAUUAUCAAAGACCCCAGCCACCCUAGUCAUGGACUUUUCUCUCUGCUACCACACGGCAAGCGGUACCGGAGCGCCAAGUCUAGGUCCAAGAGGCUUCUAAAAAGCUUUUACCCCCAAGCCAUACAUUUCCUGAACAGCUAAUCCAACGGCUACCUAGACUAUUUGCAUUGCCCCCCCCAGUGCCCCUGCACAUUGACACAUUGACUCUGUACCGGUACCCUGUGUAUAGCCCUGCUAUUGUUAUUGCCCUGCUGUUGCUUUUUGGGGGAUUUUCUUAAAACUGCAUUGUUGGUUAAGGGCUUGUAAGUAAGCAUUUCUCUGUAAGGUCUACAACUGUUAAAUUCGGCACAUGUAAUAAAUACAAUUUUUCAUUUGAUUUUUAUUUUAUUUAUCUCCAACAACUAACUUGGCUUCAAAGAUAAUCUUGAGCUGAAUGCAAACAGACCAAAUUAAUACUCUUCUUGAAGCUAUUGUAUAAAGCCCUCAAAGCAUUAAGUCAUGGUUUGAUUGUCAUUUAGAUAUUAGUAGUACAUGAGAUUUUGACUUGAUGAUAAUCCGUGGUCUCUGUGUAAAUGCAUUUUUCUUGUUAAAAAAGUUCAACUCUUUCCAGUGACUAGAAAAUGACCACCUCUACCUGAACUUUCUCUUAAUCUAUAUUCCAAUUUCACAGUGACUGGUGAUACCUCAAUAUUGUAUUAUAAAUCAUGCUAUGUAGGUUUAAUCUUUUAUGGGUACCAAACAUUCACUAACUCAAGCGCACAAAUAGAAGUGUGUGUACUGUAGCUCAUUAUUCAUUUAACUGCCUAGUUACAUCUUUCCCCUCACGGCUGCUCCACGCCAUUCAGUUCUUAAUGUAACCGAAAAGGUACACUUAGAGAAAAGGCUGUCCCCUUAGGAGAACCCUUUCUGGUUCCAUGGAGAACCCUAUAGAACCAAAAAAUUUGAUCAUAUUACUCCAGUGCUAGCCUCUCUACACUGGCUUCCUGUCAAAGCAAGGGCUGAUUUCAAGGUUUUACUGCUAACCUACAAAGCAUUACAUGGGCUUGCUCCUACCUAUCUCUCUGAUUUGGUCCUACCGUACAUACCUACACGUACGCUACGGUCACAAGACGCAGGCCUCCUAAUUGUCCCUAGAAUUUCUAAGCAAACAGCUGGAGGCAGGGCUUUCUCCUAUAGAGCUCCAUUUUUAUGGAACGGUCUGCCUACCCAUGUCAGAGACGCAAACUCGGUC
ensembl:lncRNA